rnacentral:rRNA from 1 species
CUUGCUAAGUUUGAUGGCGACCGGCGCACGGGUGAGUAACACGUAUCCAACCUGCCCUUUACUCGGGGAUAGCCUUUCGAAAGAAAGAUUAAUACCCGAUGGCAUAGUUCUUCCGCAUGGUAGAACUAUUAAAGAAUUUCGGUCAUCGAUGGGGAUGCGUUCCAUUAGGUUGUUGGCGGGUAACGGCCCACCAAGCCUUCGAUGGAUAGGGGUUCUGAGAGGAAGGUCCCCCACAUUGGAACUGAGACACGGUCCAAACUCCUACGGGAGGCAGCAUG